UGUUCUAUUUCCACAGACAGUGGGAUUUAAGGAGGAGGUGACUGGCUUCAGUUUCUGCUUCUGGCUGCCCACAGAAUACAAUGGAACAACGAGAGGAGGGAAGCGUAGGGAUUGGAUUGAAAAGACACAAGAAAAGCUGCAGAACAGCUGAGUGGCAUGCAAAGACAAAUUGCAGCUCAUAGAACUGUUGCCAACCUUUGUCACUCUUACAAUGACCUCCUCUCCCUUUGCAAAUGAUGGUUGGCAAUAGUGUUAAUUGCAGUAGAUUUACACUAUUUCCCUGCAAUGUGGGAGGCAAAGACAAAGCUGCUUAGCAGCAUCCUGAUGGAUAUUCACUGACAUUUGCAGUCUGUUGCUAUGGUCGCCCAGGGACUUUUGUUUAGAAGUGGUAUUUUUUUUUUCAUGCAGAUGACGUCAUGGAUGUCCAUGGAUGUGACAGGCCACCCUUAGGGUUGGAGGUUUUAAAGAGACAGCCUCCAGCUGCAACACUAGCUCUGGCUAUUGUCUGAGAAGCUGAUAUAAAAAUGGGGGGACAGUCUCUUCACCUAGCACAGUCUCAGCGAAGCUCCUUACUUAGCACUACCUUCAUGUGCAGUGAGAGGGUAGCGUGCCAUAAAAGCCAGCUGUCUGUGUACAGAAGAUCAUUUCUCUCUGCACCUCCUCUCAUCAUACAGCAGCAUGUGAAAUUCUCUUCCUUAAAGCUUCACAGAGCAGCCAAUAGAAUACGAUCGCUGUCGGGUAGAGAUGGCAUCUUGUAACUUUAAAGAAGCAAACAGACUCUCUGUAAAAUAGAAAGAUUAUUUAGAAAAGGUAUUGCCAAGAGACAAACCGCUAGCAAGAUUGCAAUGGCUGACUAUGGAACAUGAAGGGGACUGGAACCAGUGUUCAAUGCGAAACUCUUUGUAAGGUGCUCCAUAAGCUUCAAAAAACCCAUGGGCAGAGCAGCGGAUUAUGCUGAUCAGGACCAGCUACUAAAAAGGAAAGAGAGGUUCAUGACUGAAUCAGAAACAGCUGUAUCCUUGGCAUCAUUGUGUUCUCUAUUGUCACUUGUUCCUAUCUUAAGGUUAUAGUCUAGUUAGAUGCAUAUUUUAAAGUCAUUGAAUGUAUGGAGCUAUCUCUAUGGGGAAGGGAGCAAAGGAAGGCACCUGGUAAUAUACAGACAAAUAUGCAUACGCUCAAUCGUGGACCCCAAAUGUAUCUAAGCACAUUCCUGUUGAAAGGCUUUCAUAGAUGUUUCUUCUAACUGAUUAUACUGAACUCAUCUCUAGCAUUUGCAUAGGUGAGCAUUUAGGAAAUACUGAUCAUAACAUGGUCUCCUUUGACAUCAUGUUACAGAGUCAACUCUUUAAUGGAGUAACUAAAACACUUAAUUUGAGAUAUGCAAACUAAACUAGAGAAGGAAAAGGUUAUUACAGUGAGGUAUAAAAUAAAUACAAAAUUGCUUUUUAAAUAUGUAAAUAGUAUAAAAAUAAAGCAAAAAGUAAUUGUGUCCUUAUUAUCAGAGGGAGGUCAUUUUGUUGAUGAGAGCAGGGAAAAAGCAGAGAUUCUGAAUUGUUAUUGUCUACACAACUGAGAAAUCAACUAAUGAAGGCUUCCUUUAUUAAUAGACCAAAUUCUAAUAAAAUAAGUAUUAAUAGAUAGGUCACUCCGGAGGAAUUUCAAAAGAGAGCACUAAACAAGCUUAGCUCUGUGACUGCCAAACCUCUUUGUUUAAUUUGUCAGGAUUCAAUGAGUUCUGGCAUGGUGCCAAGAGAUUGGUGAAUUGCUUAUGUGGUGAUGCUAUUCAAAAAGGUAUCCCAUUCUACGCCUGAAAACUAUAGGCCUGUUAGUCUGACAUCAGUGGCAGGAAAGCUUUUGUAAGGGGUAAUAAAGGAUAAAAUACUUGACUACAUUACAAAUCAUAAUACUAUAAGUUUGUACCAACAUGGUGUUAUGCAUUACAGAUCUUGACAGACUAUUUUAAUUGCAUUUUAUUAGAAGGUGAGCAGAAACCUCUGGGAUAGCGGAGAAUGUAAUCUAUUUAGACUUUGCUAAACCAUUUGAUACAGUACCACGCAGAAGGUUAAUGGUUAAAUUAAGGAAUAUUGGCCUGGAGCAUAUUUGUACAUAGAUAGAGAACUGGAUAAUGUAUAGAUUACAAAGAGUAGUUGUAAAGGGAACAUUUUCUAAUUUGACAAGUGUUGUCAGUUUAAUACCACAGGGGUCUGUUUU